UUUUUUUUUCUCUCUUUUUCUCUCUCGGCUAUCUCUCUCUCCUCCUCUCCUCCGAAAAACUCCCUCUUCUCUUCUCUCUUCGAUUUCAUCUACUUAGGGUGUGAUUCCGGACAAGGCCAGAGAAUUAAAGUUGUUAUACGGAGCACGAGCUUUCCAAAUAUCCAAGAAAAUUCAUGAUCGGACCUCGUUAGAGCUUGGUUGACUCGGUCAAAGGCUCGGAUUUUGCUCAAAACCCAUGAGGUUCAUUGCAGGUCAUGGUCAUGGUCAUGGAGUACUUGGAGUGCAUGCUGACAUUAUCGAUUAAAGCUAUUUUGGAGAGCACUUUAUUUUUCUUGUUUAACAAACGACUUUGUUAUGAAAUUCCUACUUUGAAAGAUUGUAUUUGUAGACCAAUUUAUGGAAUCGGAAACUGUAUUGUAUUUUGGGGUAUUGUACGUACGAUUGUGAGGACUUUGUAUUUCAAAUGGUAUUGUUAAUUUAUGUUGAAAAUCGAGGGCGUGACAACUUGGUAUCAGAGCAUUAGGUUUGAAUACCUAGAGACCGUGGGGAGACUUAGUCUCAGGGGUUCAAAAAAAAAAAGUCAUUGCAUAUUUUUAACAAAACAUGAGUGUGCUUGCCUGACUGAUGUGUGUUCAUUGAUGUGGCAUUGCAUCUGUGUUUAUGCGAAUUGGUGGAAUGUGGUUGACUCAUGUAAAAAAAGAAAAAGAAGAAGAAGAAGAGAAGUUUGACCUCUUUGUAGUGACUACGGUUGCGAAGUUACUGUUAUUAGUUUUGAUCUUGAGCCGUUUGUGGUAAGGUAUCCUUUCAGAUGAGAUGUUAGACAAAAAAAAAAAAAUUUGAAAAGUCGAGAUUGUUGUAGUGGUUAUGCGUAGUGGCGAGGUUGAAAUGUGAAAGAUGAUAUCCGUUAGUAUGUAAAAGAAGUGUUGUAUUGUUAACAAGGUUUGUGAGCUAAAUACUUGAUGCGUUUUAUUUGAAUUGUGUAGAUUAUGUGUUAAGUUUAAAUACCUUAAGUAAUUUUCAUGUGAUGCGAGGUGUAUCAUAGCUAAAGGAUUGAACUAGUGAGUGUCUUGAAUGUAUGAAGAGAUGAUGUCUUGUUGUGGUAAUGAUUGUGUUUAUUAUUGUUAUGGUAGUUAUAGGGGUAGUGGUUUUAAGAAUAGGUAAGACAGGUGGAACCCUUGUAAGUAUCUGAGAUUGACUUAGGAAGAUGAGAGUUGUAGGUAGGGUGUUUAGAAACAGUAUGUGUCUUCUGGACACCCAGGCGACUACCGAAGAGAUCCAGUUGGAAGAGGCGCUUGAUCACCGCUCCUUCUAGAUGGAAGUCUCGGGAAGUCAAUCGGAUACUAGGUUUAUAUUAAGGGGUAAGAUCUCUAGGCUUGAGGCAGAUAACUAUAUAUAGAAAUUUCGUAGAAAAAUGAUGUGCUGUGGUGUUGUCGUAGUCAUUGUGGUGAUUGCCGUAGCGGUAGUGUUAUGAGGGGUCGAUAGGAGAAUAUUAGUUGUGUUAUUCGGAGAUAGGGAAAAUAAGACACAAGGAGAAAGAUAGUGAUGUGAUUUAAGUCAAGUGGUCAAUGUAAGGCAAAGUAAGAAAAUUGUUUGAAGUAAAGGCGAUAUAAGGGUGAACUGUUAAGGCUAAUAAUGAAGUGGAGUGUAGUUGGCAUCCUUAGUUGGAAUGGUGUGAAAUUCAUGGCAAGUGAGACUAUUAGAAGUUCUUGGUGCGAGUGAAAUUGAUUCUUGAGUAAUGAGGUAGUACGAGUCUUAGAAUAUAAAGAGGAAUAUAGACAUGUUAUUUGUAACCCCAGAGUCUUGUUAGUGUUUAGAAGAGGUUUAUCAAUUUGUUUGUAUUUAUAUUGGUGUUUAAAAUUUUAGUAUCGAGAAAAUCAAUAGCAGUAAAAGUUUAUUAGUGCAACUAUUGCAUACAUUGUGUAGGUAUUUGGGCGAUGAAAUAUCGUGUGAUUGUAAAGUUGAUAGAGAAAUGAUUAAUAUUGAUGUUGCGUAUUUGUUACAUGAUAUUCGAGAUUGUGAAAAUGGGAAACAUGUGACUUGAGUAGGCUAAUUGACGAGAGUGUUCGAGAUUGAUGGGUAAACAGAAAAUGUGAAAGGUAUCGUGAAGUUGAAAGGAACGAGAUUACCAUUGGGCUUUCUAGAGUGAUGAAAUGUGAAGUGAUGGAUACUUUGUGAGUCCGAUGGACACUUUGUGAGUCCGAUGGAUACUUUGUGAGUCCGAUGGACACUUUGUGAGGUUGUUGGAUACUUUGUGAGUCCGUGGAUGCUUUGUGAGACUGAUGGAUACUUUGUGAGUCCGAUGGACACUUUGUGAGUUCGAUGGAUACUUUGUGAGUCCGAUGGACACUUUGUGAGGUUGUUGGAUACUUUGUGAGUCCGUGGAUGCUUUGUGAGACUGAUGGAUACUUUGUGAGUCCGAUGGACACUUUGUGAGUUCGAUGGAUACUUUGUGAGUCCGAUGGACACUUUGUGAGGUUGUUGGAUACUUUGUGAGUCCGUGGAUGCUUUGUGAGACUGAUGGAUACUUUGUGAGUCCGAUGGGCACUUUAUGAGACCGCUGGAUACUUUGUGAGUCUGAUUGACACUUUGUGAGAUUGCUGGAUACUUGGUGAGUCCGUUGGAUACUUUGUGAGUUGGUGAAUCUGCUGGAUACUGAGUGAGCCUGUUAAUGCGUGGAUGUGUCUGGCAUUGUGUAAGCUAUUAAAUUGCAUUGUGGGUUUGUUGAAAUAUUUCGUGAAUGAAAUGUGCUGUUGUUUAGUUCUAACCUACAUAUUUGAUUUAUUAUGUAAUCUCAAUGCGUGAAAUUUGCUUUAAGUAUAUGAUGUAGAAUAAACAGUGAUGCUUAUGUGGGUAGUUGCUAUGAGUGUAUGCCUUUCUUGAGUAGCAACAACGAUGUUUGGAGAAUUGGGUUUAAGGAAAUAGUGGAUUGAUAGUUUACCAGAAUGGUUUUAAUGUGUCUUGUGAAGAGUUAUGUAAAAGGGACGCGUUACAAUAGGGGAGAGUUUGGAUUUUCGAAAAUAGAAACCGAUAGUGAUUCAGAGUGGGCUAGAGAAUAUGAAGUAGUGUUGAACUCUUAGUUGUGUUUGAGUGUUAAAUGGCCGAAAAAAAAAAAAUGUUUGAGAUUUGUGCAGAGUCGAUAUAAAAGUUGUGUUGGUAAACAGAAAUGUGAGUCAGAGAUAAAGGUUGAUGAUUUUGUGUUAGGUGUGUUUCGUCGUACCAAGGGAGGUGAACCCUGUCUUUGAGAAAGGGAAGUGAGUAGCGAGGUGCGUGAAAUAAUUUGAGAUUGUUAAAGAGAAUAAUGCAACUAUCUAUUAUCAAUGGUAUUGAUAGAAUUGAAUCAAUUGUGGGGUGUGUUUAUUUUAUUUUAUUUUUAUUUUUGGAGACGAAAGAUGUAUUAAUAGCUUUGAAAUGUGAGACGUUCAACGAGGGUGAGUUGGUGUUAAAAUUGAGCAAAUGGUGAUGAUCGUUAUGUAGUGAUUGAGUUUUGGGUUUCUUGGUUUUAUUACAGUGGAGAGUAUUUGGGUAUUCAAAAAAAAAUAUUGAUGGAUUGAUCUAUCAGUUGGUAUUGGGAAAAUGAAGCUUAUGAGUAUUAGAAUUAUAGUUAUUAUAAGCAGUUUAGUAUGUCCUUCUGGGAAGUUCAAGAGAUACUUAGUGGAAUAAACUGAAAAGAAUGAGAAUGAGGAAUUCUAGAGUUCGACGAACGUGAGAUUAUAAACUGUUGAAUCUCGGUGGGAUUGUCAUGAAGAUAUGUGGGGACUAGUAUUUUGGUAUAGAUGUUAGGAUUUGAAAA